GACGAACGCUGGCGGCGCGCCUAACACAUGCAAGUCGAACGGAGUUAUGUUGACAGAAGCCUUCGGGUGGAAGAUGACAUAGCUUAGUGGCGGACGGGUGAGUAACACGUGAGCAACCUGCCUAUCAGAGGGGGAUAACGUUCUGAAAAGAACGCUAAUACCGCAUAACGUGCGAGGGAGACAUCUCCCUUGUACCAAAGGAGCAAUCCGCUGAUAGAUGGGCUCGCGUCCGAUUAGGUAGUUGGUAGGGUAACGGCCUACCAAGCCGACGAUCGGUAGCCGGACUGAGAGGUUGAACGGCCACAUUGGGACUGAGACACGGCCCAG
rnacentral:rRNA from 1 species